GUGGGGAAUAUUGGACAAUGGGCGAAAGCCCGAUCCAGCCAUGCCGCGUGUGUGAAGAAGGUCUUCGGAUUGUAAAGCACUUUAAGUUGGGAGGAAGGGCAGUAAGUUAAUACCUUGCUGUUUUGACGUUACCGACAGAAUAAGCACCGGCUAACUUCGUGCCAGCAGCCGCGGUAAUACGAAGGGUGCAAGCGUUAAUCGGAAUUACUGGGCGUAAAGCGCGCGUAGGUGGUUUUGUAAGUUGGAGGUGAAAUCCCCGGGCUCAACCUGGGAACUGCCUCCAAAACUGCAUGACUAGAGUACGGUAGAGGGUAGUGGAAUUUCCUGUGUAGCGGUGAAAUGCGUAGAUAUAGGAAGGAACACCAGUGGCGAAGGCGACUACCUGGACUGAUACUGACACUGAGGUGCGAAAGCGUGGGGAGCAAACAGGAUUAGAUACCCCGGUAGUCC
rnacentral:rRNA from 1 species